rnacentral:rRNA from 1 species
GAAAGUAGGAAAGGGCGCAUGGCGGAUGCCUUGGCUCUCGGAGGCGAUGAAGGACGUGAUAAGCUGCGAUAAGUCACGGGGAGGUGCAAAUAACCUUUGAUCCGUGAAUCUCCGAAUGGGACAACCCGAUAUCCUGAAGGGAUAUCACCUCAUCUAGUUGAGGAGCUAACGCAGGGAACUGAAACAUCUUAGUACCUGCAGGAAAAGAAAAUAACAAUGAUUCCCCCAGUAGUGGCGAGCGAACGGGGAAGAGCCCAAACCAUUCAUGUUACGGCAUGGAUGGGGUUGUAGGACCACGGCGUUGCAAGAACUCUUGUGAGAAGAACAGCCUGGAAAGGCUGGCCACAGACGGUGACAGUCCGGUAUUCGAAGCAAGACGAAGCAUAGUGGUAUCCUGAGUAGCGCGGAACACGAGGAAUUCUGCGUGAAUCUGCCGGGACCAUCCGGUAAGGCUAAAUACUCCCGAGAGACCGAUAGUGGACCAGUACCGUGAGGGAAAGGUGAAAAGCACUUCGAACAGAAGAGUGAAACAGUACCUGAAACCGUGCGCCUACAAGCGGUCGGAGCACGAAAGUGUGACGGCGUGCCUUUUGCAUAAUGAACCUACGAGUUACCGUAUCUGGCAAGGUUAAGGGUCACGAGACCUGCAGCCGAAGCGAAAGCGAGUCUGAAGAGGGCGUCGAGUCAGUUGCGGUAGACGCGAAACCAAGUGAUCUACCCUUGGCCAGGAUGAAGUCUGGGUAACACCAGAUGGAGGUCCGCACCAAUAAGCGUUGAAAAGCUUCUGGAUGAGCUGAGGGUAGGGGUGAAAGGCUAAUCAAACUUGGAGAUAGCUCGUACUCCCCGAAAUGCAUUUAGGUGCAGCCUCGCGGGUUACUGAUGUGAGGUAGAGCGACUGAUUGGAUGCGAGGGCUUCACCGCCUAUCAAGUCCUGACAAACUCCGAAUGCGCAUCAGUUUUACCGCGGGAGUGAGGGCAUGGGUGCUAAGGUCCGUGCCCGAGAGGAGAAGAAUCCGGACUAUCAGCUAAGGCCCCGAAAUGACAGCUAAGUUAAACUAACGAAGUCUGAUUGCUAAGACAGCUAGGAUGUUGGCUUGGAAGCAGCCAUUCAUUUAAAGAGUGCGUAACAGCUCACUAGUCGAGGAAUCGGGCGUGGAUAAUAAUCGGGUAUCAAGUUGUCUGCCGAAGCUAUAGAAUCAGCAAUGAUUGGUAGGGGAGCAUUCCAUUCCGCGUUGAAGGCGUGGCGUGAGCCAUUCUGGAGCGUAUGGAAAAGCAAAUGUAGGUAUAAGUAACGAUAAAGGGGGUGAGAAACCCCCUCGCCGAAAGACUAAGGUUUCCUGAUCAACGCUAAUCGGAUCAGGGUAAGUCGGGUCCUAAGGUUCAGCCGAACGGCGAGACCGAUGGCAGAAACGGUUAAUAUUCCGUUACUACCUUUGAGGGUGACGUGGGGACGCAGGAGUGACACCGCCGCCGGCUGACGGAAUAGCCGGUUAAAGAGUGUAGACGUUGAUUUCCGCAGGCAAAUCCACGGAAAGAGUCGAACUUGACAGUAUGGAACGUCCUUCGGGACAAUCCAAUAGUGCGGGUAAGCAGACUGCCGAGAAAAUCCGCUAAACAUAACUUCAGAGGUACCCGUACCGCAAACGGACACACGUAGUCGGGUUGAAUAUACUAAGGCGCUUGAGUGAAUCACGGUUAAGGAACUAGGCAAACUGACCCUGUAACUUCGGGAUAAAGGGUCCCUACCCAGAAAUGGGAGGGCGCAGAGAAUAGGUCCAGGCAACUGUUUAACAAAAACACAGGGCUGUGCCAAUAUGAAAGUAGACGUAUACAGCCUGACACCUGCCCGGUGCUGGAAGGUUAAGAGGAGAUGUCAUCGCAAGAGAAGCAUUGAAUUGAAGCCCCAGUAAACGGCGGCCGUAACUAUAACGGUCCUAAGGUAGCGAAAUUCCUUGUCGGGUAAGUUCCGACCUGCACGAAUGG